rnacentral:rRNA from 1 species
GACGAACGCUGGCGGCGUGCUUAACACAUGCAAGUCGAGCGGAGCGGCGAACGGGUGAGUAACGCGUGAGUAACUGCCCCCCUCUCUGGGAUAACAGUUGGAAACGGCUGCUAAUACCAGAUAGUGGGGGAUGACUCGCGUCCUAUCAGCUUGUUGGUGGGGUAGUGGCCGACCAAGGCGACGACGGGUAGCCGGCCGGAGAGGGCGACCGGCCAAAUUGGGCUAAGGUACGUGUCAAACUCGUACGGGGGGCAGCAGUAGUGAAGAGUGCGCAGUGGUGGACACCCUGAUGCAGCAACGCCGCGUGCGGGAUGACGGCCGUCGGGUUGCAAACCGCGUUCAGGCAUGACGCGGUGGUGGCAGAAGAAGCACCGGCUACCUACGUGCCAGCAGCCGCGGUAAUUC